GAUGAACGCUGGCGGCGUGCCUAAUACAUGCAAGUCGAGCGGAGCGGGGACGGGUGUGAGACACGUGGAUAUACUCCUAUAAGGCUGGGGUAAACUACGGGAACCGGAGCUAAACCGGAUGCUUAUCGCUGGAUCCGGUCUGCAUUAGCUGGUUGGUAGGGUAACGGCUUACAAAGGCAACGAUCCAUAGCCGACCUGAGAGGUUGAUCGGCCACACUGGAACUGAGACACGGUCCAGACUCCUACGGGAGGCAGCAGUAGGGAAUCUUCCGCAAUGGGCGAAAGCCUGACGGAGCAACGCCGCGUGUGUGAUGAAGGUCUUCGGAUCGUAAAGCACUGUUAUUAGGGAAGCGGUACCCAAUGAGAAAGCCACGGCUAACUACGUGCCAGCAGCCGCGGUAAUUC
rnacentral:rRNA from 1 species